UACGGAGGGGGCUAGCGUUGUUCGGAAUUACUGGGCGUAAAGCGCACGUAGGCGGCUUUGCAAGUUAGAGGUGAAAGCCCAGGGCUCAACCCUGGAAUUGCCUUUAAAACUGCAUCGCUAGAAUUGUGGAGAGGUAAGUGGAAUUCCGAGUGUAGAGGUGAAAUUCGUAGAUAUUCGGAAGAACACCAGUGGCGAAGGCGACUUACUGGACACAUACUGACGCUGAGGUGCGAAAGCGUGGGGAGCAAACAGG
rnacentral:rRNA from 1 species